rnacentral:rRNA from 1 species
CGGAGGCAGCAGUAAGGAAUAUUGGGCAAUGGUCGGAAGACUGACCCAGCCAUGCCGCGUGCAGGAAGAAGGCGCUUAGCGUUGUAAACUGCUUUUGUCGGAGAAGAAAAUACCCCUGCGGGGGUGCCUGACGGUAUCCGACGAAUAAGCAUCGGCUAACUACGUGCCAGCAGCCGCGGUAAUACGUAGGAUGCAAGCGUUGUCCGGAUUUAUUGGGUUUAAAGGGUGCGUAGGUGGGGAAUUAAGUCGUGGGUGAAAGCUGGUAGCUUAACUAUCAAAAUGCCUGUGAUACUGGUUUUCUUGAAUACGGUGGAGGUAACUGGAAUGGGUGGUGUAGCGGUGAAAUGCAUAGAUACCAUCCGGAACACCAAUUGCGUAGGCAGGUUACUACGCCGUGAUUGACACUGAGGCACGAAAGCGUGGGGAUCAAACAGGAUUAGAUACCCGUGUAGUCC